rnacentral:lncRNA from 1 species
CCACCCAACUGCGCCUGCGCGAAGAGAAGCCCCGCCCCGAUCAGGCUGGGCUAUGGAAAGAGUCCGGGCUUGGGGUCCCCGAACAUCAUCAGACACGUGACCGUCAAUGAGUCUCGCCCCGCCCAUUGAGGUCUGCUUGCUGGAGCCGCCGGCCGCCUAGACUCGGGCCAGGCGGCGCGCGGGUCUGCAGGCAGGACCCUGCACCUUUGCUCUGGAGUCAAGGGGAUGACGGAGCGGCAUAGGGAAGAGGCGUGGCUUAGCAAUGGAGUUAGCCCCGCCCAUCGCAACAUGUCGUGUUGGCGCACCUGCAGUCAGUAUGGAGAGAGAAAUAAAGGGAGCCUGUCUUCAUGCUGUUAUGACAUUUGAUAUGAGGAACAGCUCAGCAAGAAGGGGACGUGUAUGGGCCCAGGAAAGAGAAUGUGCUGGUUGGGAAGGAGGUGUCCAGAAGAGACAAAGGGAGACGACUGGUAGGCAUCAGUGGGGUGAUGGAAGUUAAGGACUUUUCUUUCAAAAAAUACAACAGGAAACUAACCGCAAAAAAUAGGUUAAUGCAAAAUUAAAUUUACUAGUUUUUAAAAAGAAAACCUCCAGAAAAUACAAAUAUUAAGGUUCAUAUUGACAGCUGUGUUGCACACACGUAAUGCAGAUGAACCUUGAUUAUUCACACUUCUUUUCAUCUGAAACAAGAUUGGGUCUCUCAAAGCCUGCUAAUAACAUUGCAAAGUUCUUUGGUUAUCUGAACACUUUCUUAUCCAAAUGUAGUCAAUUUUCUCCUUUUACAUGUAGAUAAUCAAGACUGUACUGAAUUCCUAAUGACUAUUUAAAUUGUUUAAAUUUAUGCUUUAAUAGAUAGUAUAUACAAUGUGGGCAAAUUAAUGUUGUGGGAGUCUUAACAUUAACAUUUCCAUGUUUAAAUAUAUAACUUUAAUAUUACAUUGAUGUUAUUUUGUGAAUUAAUUAUAGCUCUUUAGUUAAGAAGUGAGGUUGCAUAAAAUGUAAUUCCUGCAGCAGAAACUGACCCCUGCCUAUUUUAACAUCCUGCUACCCAAUAGAUUUUCUAGUGUUCUUCAUUUCAAGAUUUUCCACUGUACUGUGUCCCAGAUUUGUCCCAAACAAGGUUGAGAGGGAAUAUGUUAGAAUGUCACACACAGUAUGGCCACUUGUCCUUUAUUUGGUGCCUGUUUCAUAUUACACGUUAAAUUAAUCAAUAAAUAUUGUCUUGUAUACACCAAUAAUGAUGCAAAGGGAGUGUACACUGUAAUACAAUGUGUUACUUAUAUAUAAAUGUGUGUCACAAAUAAAACAUUGGGGAUGUGCCCUUAAAAUAAACUUUCUCCUAUAAUUUCCAACUUGUCCUUUAUUCGAAACAUAAAGGGUCUGUAUAUGAGGGUAUGUCUACACUACGGGAUUAUUCCGAUUUCACAUAAGCCGGUUUUAUAAAACAGAUUGUAUAAAGUCUAGUGCACGCGGCCACACUAAGCACAUUAAUUCGGCGGUGUGUGUCCAUGGUCCGAGGCUAGCGUCGAUUUCCGGAGCGUUGCACUGUGGGUAGCUAUUCCGUAGCUAUCCCAUAGUUCCCGCAGUCUCCCCCGCCCCUUAGAAUUCUGGGUUGAGAGCCCAGUGACUGAUGGGGAAAAAUCAUUG